CACGUAGGGGGCGAGCGUUGUCCGGAUUUAUUGGGCGUAAAGAGCUCGUAGGCGGCUCGGUAAGUCGGGUGUGAAACCUCCAGGCUCAACCUGGAGACGCCACCCGAUACUGCCGUGGCUAGAGUCCGGUAGAGGAGCGUAGAAUUCCUGGUGUAGCGGUGAAAUGCGCAGAUAUCUGGAGGAACACCGGUGGCGAAGGCGGCGUCCUGGACCAACACUGACACUGAGGAGCGAAAGCCAGGGGAGCAAACGGG
rnacentral:rRNA from 1 species